CGCUGGCGGCGUGCCUAAUACAUGCAAGUCGAGCGCACAGAGGGGAGCUUGCUCCCUGAGGUGAGCGGCGGAUGGGUGAGUAACACGUGGGCAACCUGCCUGUCAGACUGGGAUAACUGUGGGAAACCGCAGCUAAUACCGGAUAAUCCUCUGCACCGCAUGGUGCAGGGUUGAAAGAUGGUUUCGGCCAUCACUGACAGAUGGGCCCGCGGUGCAUUAGUUAGUUGGCGGGGUAACGGCCCACCAAGACCGCGAUGCAUAGCCGACCUGAGAGGGUGAUCGGCCACAUUGGGACUGAGACACGGCCCAAACUCCUACGGGAGGCAGCAGUAGGGAAUCUUCCACAAUGGACGAAAGUCUGAUGGAGCAACGCCGCGUGAGCGAAGAAGGUUUUCGGAUCGUAAAGCUCUGUUGCUGGAGAAGAACGAGUGCUAGAGGAAAUGCUAGUGCUGUGACGGUAUCCAGCCAGAAAGCCACGGCUAACUACGUGCCAGCAGCCGCGGUAAUACGUAGGUGGCAAGCGUUGUCCGGAAUUAUUGGGCGUAAAGCGCGCGCAGGCGGCUUCUUAAGUCUGAUGUGAAAUCUUGCGGCUCAACCGCAAACGGUCAUUGGAAACUGGGAAGCUUGAGUGCAGAAGAGGAGAGUAGAAUUCCACGUGUAGCGGUGAAAUGCGUAGAGAUGUGGAGGAAUACCAGUGGGCGAAGGCGGCUCUCUGGUCUGUAACUGACGCUGAGGCGCGAAAGCGUGGGGAGCAAACAGGAUUAGAUACCCUGGUAGUCCACGCCGUAAACGAUGAAUGCUAGGUGUUAGGGGGNUCCAACCCNUUAGUGCUGAAGUUAACACAUUAAGCAUUCCGCCUGGGGAGUACGACCGCAAGGUUGAAACUCAAAGGAAUUGACGGGGGCCCGCACAAGCAGUGGAGCAUGUGGUUUAAUUCGAAGCAACGCGAAGAACCUUACCAGGUCUUGACAUCCUCUGACAAGCCUAGAGAUAGGCCGUUCCCCUUCGGGGGACAGAGUGACAGGUGGUGCAUGGUUGUCGUCAGCUCGUGUCGUGAGAUGUUGGGUUAAGUCCCGCAACGAGCGCAACCCUUGAUCUUAGUUGCCAGCAUUNAGUUGGGCACUCUAAGGUGACUGCCGUGACAAACCGGAGGAUGGUGGGGAUGACGUCAAAUCACCAUGCCCCUUAUGAUCUGGGCUACACACGUGCUACAAUGGGUGGUACAAAGGGCAGCGAAACCGCGAGCUCGAGCUAAUCCCAUAAAGCCACCCCCAUUCGGAUUGCAGGCUGCAACUCGCCUGCAUGAAGCCGGGAUUGCUAGUAAUCGCGGAUCAGCAUGCCGC
rnacentral:rRNA from 1 species